CUAAACAAAUGUUGGUCACACAGAACAGAGUGGAGACUAUGCCGUUCAAAAUGAAUUGAGUCAAAAAGGUAUAGACGAACAGUCAGAUCCAUUGGAGGUACAUGUUUAACAGCUCCGUUACUUGCUUUAGCCAAACAAGUGGCGUCCUUGCUAGAAAUUAAUACAGUUGAGGUAUACUUUUGAGCUUAAUGACUUGCUUACUCUUCAUGCCACAAUAUUGAGUAAUUUUACAAUGAAAAUGUUAUAUUAGUUGAUAAGUGUUUAAAUCUAACUAUAUAACGUAUAAUGCAAAUAAAAAAACAUGGGUGAAGGAGGAUAUAAUAUCUAGAGAGAAUAUGAAUUAAGGAAAAGGUAACUGUACCUGGUUUAUUUUUUCUAUGAAGGUAUCAGUAACUUGAUUGGUAAUGAUAAACCUUGCACAAUGUAUACUCAAGCAUUUGCACAACUCAGAUGGCAUUACUAUUAGUCGUAAAAACUUCUUCUUGAAGGAAACUUUUGCUUGAUGCCAAAUCUGAAAUUUCGUGGUACUUAAGAUGAGCAUUAAGAUGUUUUUCUUUAUCUUUGGAAUAAAUUUGUAGUACGCAGAAGGUGCUUUUGGUCUAAAGUUUGAUGAGAAAAUAGUUUUUUGCUCAGUAAGUAUAUCUUUGUACAGUAAUAAAGAUUAGAUAUAUCAGUUGUGAAUUUCAGAUAUUGCGGCAUACAUUUUGUCAAUCAAAUGGUUGGAGGCUUCAUCUUUUUUGAUUUUUUUGAGGAUUAUAUUCAGGUGUGUGCUUAUGCCAAAAUGAUUUUGUGAAUUGAAACAAAAUUGACAUUUUUAAAAUAUCAUUUCGUGCACUAUUACCUUUUUCUUCUAUAAUCUGAAGUGAUUAUUUUUAAAUAGGAAACGGAAAAGAUUGGAAUGUUUGACGAGAGAUUUUAUGGUAUUUAAAGGUAUACAAACAAGAAAGAGCACCAACAGCACUCUGGAAAAAAAGAAGAGUGACAAGGACUAUUUCAGAGUAUGGUAUAGUACUGACAAAGCAAUCGAUAAUCCAUAGUCUAUAAUUUGAAUGAAGGUAUAUGUGAUCGGGACAGUGGGUUCCUCAUGGUGGGUCAACUAUGAGAAUAUUUUUGUUUAUAACUGAGAAUGUGUUGUACA